rnacentral:snoRNA from 1 species
GCCCUCCAGGUUCCUCACCCAUCAGACCUAAACACUGGUCUGAGCAGUUACAAAGGAGGAGAAGUAAAACUAAAACCGACACACAUUCUUUCAUGGAACAUGAGCUAGUUUCACAGAAAC